rnacentral:SRP_RNA from 1 species
GCUGAGUGUGGUGGCGGGCACCUGUAAUCCCAGCUACGUGGGAGGCUGAGGCAGGAGAAUUGCUUGAACCUGGGAGCUGGAUGUUACAGUGAGCCGAGAUGGCACCACUGCACUCCAGCCUAGGUGACACAGCAAGACUCUGUCUCAA